AGCGAACGCUGGCGGCAGGCUUAACACAUGCAAGUCGAGCGGGCAUCCUUGUGGUGUCAGCGGCAGACGGGUGAGUAACGCGUGGGAACGUGCCCUUCGGUUCGGAAUAACUCAGGGAAACUUGAGCUAAUACCGGAUACGUGCGAGAGCAGAAAGGUUUAUCUGCCGAAGGAUCGGCCCGCGUCUGAUUAGCUAGUUGGUGAGGUUACGGCUCACCAAGGCGACGAUCAGUAGCUGGCCUGAGAGGAUGAUCAGCCACACUGGGACUGAGACACGGCCCAGACUCCUACGGGAGGCAGCAGUGGGGAAUAUUGGACAAUGGGGGCAACCCUGAUCCAGCCAUGCCGCGUGAGUGAUGACGGCCUUAGGGUUGUAAAGCUCUUUUCUCCGGGACGAUAAUGACGGUACCGGAGGAAUAAGCCCCGGCUAACUUCGUG
rnacentral:rRNA from 1 species